rnacentral:rRNA from 1 species
UACAAGUACCGUGAGGGAAAGUUGCAAAGAACUUUGAAGAGAGAGUUCAAGAGGGCGUGAAACCGUUUGGAAGGAAACGGAUAGAGCCGAUGACAGUCGGCGGGAUUCAGUCUGCCGGUCAGGACGCGGGUGCGUUUGUGGACAGAUCGCCGCGUCGCGUUCGCGCUCCGUGCCGGCGGAUGCAUUUCUCGUCGACGCGCGUCGAGCGCGGCGGAGGCGCGGAACGAAACCGAGGUUGCCGGCCCUGCUCGCAGGGUGUCCCUCCUCGGCGGAGGUCCGUCGUCGCUGCCGACAAGUGGACGCCCGCUCAGCUCGGUAGCCAGGCUACGCUGUCGAAUGAACCGGGGUGUCGAGCUCGCUCGUCUCUCCUACCCUCGGCGGCGGUUUGUCGGGUGAUCCGAGCGGCGUCCGGCUCGGCGUAAAAGUCGGCGACCUAUCCGACCCGUCUUGAAACACGGACCAAGGAGUCUAACAUGUGUGCGAGUCACUGGGCGGCAAACCCAGAGGCGAAAUGAAAGUGAAAGCCGGCUCGAUCGGCCGAUACGGGACCCUCCCCAGUCGGGGGUGCACCGUAGCCCCGUCUCGUCCGCUUGUCGGUGGGGCGGAGGAAGAGCAUACACGUUGGGACCCGAAAGAUGGUGAACUAUGCCUGAGCAGGACGAAGCCAGAGGAAACUCUGGUGGAGGUCCGAAGCGGUUCUGACGUGCAAAUCGAUCGUCAGACUGGUAUAGGG